CUCCGGCCGGAGGAUUCUGAGUGUGCAGCACGUGCAGAUGAGCUCCGCGGGGCAGGAGGGGACCAUCAGAGUGCUGAGUGUUAAUGCACGGAGACCUCAUGGAGAUACAUAGCGCUGCCGGCUCCUAAGAGGCUGGACACGAAGUUCUCCACCCCACUCCCAGCCAGUUUCAUAAGCUAGUUCGACAGAAAGUGAGAUCUCUACCUCCUCCUGAGAAACGGAGCCCGGAAAGGACACCCCACAGCAGGCUGGGCCAAACCAGAACUUGGCCCAUGAUAGCACGAUGGCAAGACUCCAGGGAGGCGUGCAGCCUGGGGCUCAGUCCCCACCAAGCUGCUGUUGAAAAUCCACUGUCUCAACCUGGCUUUUCUGCCAGAGGCUCUACCCCAGGGGAAAAUCAGGUCUGCCCGUGAGGGAGAACACACAGGCCUUUCCAGCCUGCAGAAGCUGUAGACCCUCUCCGGAGAGCAGGACUGGUAAGGAAUGGGGCUGGGGGGCACACAAACCCCAAGAAAGAGUACGCACUUCAAGACUGAAAACUCAGCCUUGGGUUCAGCUCAUCUGGGUUCAAAUUUCCACCUUACCACUUACCAGCUGUAUGACUUCAAACAAAUGAAUCACUGCUCAAAACUUCAGUUUCUUCACCUGUAAAAUGGGGAUCAUAAGACCGACUCCACGGGGUUGUGGUGAGGAUGACGUUAACAAUGUCUAUAAAGUACUUCAUGGGGCCUGGCCUAUGGGCAGUGCCCAAUCAAUGUAGCUACGUCCCCUUGUGAUUUUUUGUAAUCGGGCCACAUGGUGAGUGACCCACUCCCCCAGCUCAGGGUGGCUUCACAUGGGGCAUUUUCUCGUGGGCUCAAAUUAUCCUGAUUUUCUCAGGAUUGCUCGAGGCCAGGCCAGAGGGGCUAGACUACCUGGGGGAGGUGGAAGGACGGCAGGGCCUUCUGGAAACAGGGUUCAAAGACAAAUGGAGCCUUCUCUCUGAGGUUGCAGGGGGAAGUUGUUUGGGAGUGCGGUGGCAUUCCCUGAAGAUCUCCUUCCCCACACUUCAGCAGAGGCAGUGAGGUGCUCGGUGCUUGGUGCUUGGUGAUAAGUACUUGGUGCUCGGUACUUGGUGGUCAGUACUUGGUGCUCAGUGCUCGGUACUCGGUGCUCGCUCAAUUGUCUUUCUGCCCCUGUGGCCGCUCUCCCAUAAGGAAAUGGCCUCUUGCUUGUGCUUACAGCGUGCUGACAUGUCCUUUGUGUCAUUCACCUCCCAGAUGACCCUAGGAUGAGAUAACCAAGGUCCAGAGAGAAGGGACCCAGCUAGGGGCCUCCCACUGAAGCCGGGACACCGACACCGCUGGAACUCAAACCCAGUGUUCCCGUCCUCCUCACAAGAAAGGAGCUUCCCACACUAGUGUGGAUUCUCGGAGAUGAGAUGGAGGGGGCGCAAGGAAGGUGGCCCCAAUGGGGUCCUUAAGGGGUCAGGACCUGUUGACACCCUGUUGUCCCGAAACCUCUUCUGAACAUUUCUGAGAAACAAGAUCAACGUCUGUUGCCUCAGCAUGACCUUCCCGAGUAUACAAUGUCCUCCGUUCUCUGCACCCAGAUGUGUCUCCCUCCUCUUCCUCACCCCCCACCCCACACACAACACAGCACCAGCUGGUGGUGCUCUUAUCUGCUUGUUAUUAAUUUUUAACAUCUCUUCAGGGUCACGGGUCUAGAUCCAAUAUCUCCAUAACAGAGGGGUGGGCCACCCUCCUGACCACCUCGACUGCUCUCUCAGCAGCCGCUAAGGUGGCCCCAUGAUUAUUCCCCUCCCCCACACUGCAAACAAGUCUACUUGGCCAAAGGUUGACUGUCUUCAGUAAUGAAAAACAACUUAACAGCUGGACUGUUCUCACCAGGGAAGGCAAUAAAAGGGAGAAGAAGAGAAGGAAAGGGGAGAAAGAAGGAGAUAUUGAGGGGUUCUACCACGAGGAAACAGCUACUGUACCCGGCAAUUUAUACAUCUUAACCUCAGUUGAAUCUCACUACCCUUCUGCAAGACAGCCCCCGGUUCUGGAGAGCAGUCCCUGAGACGCUAGAAAGAGCGAUGGUGUUUCCGGCCCCAGGAGGAAGCCAGGGAGGCGAGUUGUGCUCUCUGGACCAGAGCUGACACCCCCUUCCUCAAACCUGGUCAAUCCCCAAGGCCUGGCUCAGGGGUACCUUCCUGAUCGCCCCCCCCCCCGCCUCCAUUCCUGCCUGUCUCCCCACCUAAAUGAAAGCUUCCUGCACACCAUGGAUGUUGCUCUCCUCUGCCUGCAAAGGGCAGGCGUGAACGAAGGUGGGAGAAAGAACUGAAGCUCCGGAGGGGCUGUGGCAAAGUCUGGGAAGACCAAGUGGCCGCUCGGGAACCCCGAGAAAUGCCGCCCGUGAAGGAAGAGGCCCCUGCCGGGGACACACCCCACGCGACACAGGGCCUGGCGAGAGAAGCAAGCUGCUUCCAUGUUGACCAGUGAUACGGUACCAGCACUGAGCACUGGUUUUAGGUCACAUUCUUUCCACUAUCUUGACGAAGAGUUCCACUGCU